CGUAAGGUGUUUGCAAAAAGAAGAUAGGAUUUGUUUCCUUCAACAUAGAGAAAAGACAACUGCUUUCUUCUUCCACGGUUGGAUCCUCCAUGGUUACCGCUAGGAUCAACAUGUUUCUAGCCAGUCGUCAUGACCAUCAUGAUAUCUAAAACGCUAGCAUAACAAAAUCCUUUCUGUCUUAUUUUUCAGAAACAACAAACCCUAAGUGUCGUUAUCACUUUGUUUGCCACCGUCUCUGCUUCGAUUUCGCAUGAAGAGUGGAGAUCUGUGAAAAACGGCACACACACACACGAAUACUACGAAUACAGAUAUAUCCACUAUCCACAAAUACGUCUUCCCCGCAGAUAUUAAAUAUCCGUAACAUGAUUUAUCCACAAAUACCCACAAAUACGGAUUUUUAUGUCAUCCCUGAACAAACCCGUUAUAUUACUCUUCAUUUUACAUAUCAUUCAAGCAAACCCAUUAUAUUACUCUUUCAUUUUACACAUCAUUUAAGCAAACGAACCAUAAAAUGUUACACUGGCAUUAAAAUUAACCCAUACAUAAAACUAUACAUGGACAUCAUUCCCUAACAUUAAAGACAAGUGAUUAACCGAUACAUAUAAAAACUAUACACGAACAUCAAUAGUUUCCCCCGAACAUCAAUAGUUUUCCCCGCUCCUGACUUUCAACAAAAGAUAGAUUAUUUUGAAGGUUAGUGAAGGAAAUCUUUCAUUGGAUCAUCCUGAUGUACUUUCUUCAUUCUGUAUGCCUCCAUAUCCUCUUCAGUAACCUCAUCGUUCCAUCUCACAUUAUACUUGCGUUUCCUCUCAUCUUUCUCCUCCCUCUUCCUUAAAUCUUCCUGUUAAACAACGUUUGUAUAAAUAAAUGUCAGAAUAACUACAUCUCAAAAGAUUGGACAUCAAUAAUGUAAAGCCCUAUUUGUUACAAGAAAUUAUGUACAAAAUUUAUUUUAAAUUAAACAUGUUCUUGGAAAUAAAGGUUGACAGACUUAUUGGCAAGAAAAUAUAAUUAAUUCCAUAGGUACAAUAAAGACACAGAAUGACACUAACAAAUACCGAGUACCCACACACAAUAGAAUGAGAUUUACCUUCUUGAGCGCAUCGGCAAGCAAUUUCUCAUCUAGAACUAAACCAUCUGGGACAUCAGUACCCCACGUAGCAAGCUUUUUCUCCUCCACAGGUGCAGGAUCCUCUGCAGGUUCAUUAAAAUGAUGGUGAUUAAUAAAGACAUGCUAAAUACAAUUAAACAAAAUUGACAAACAAACAAAAAGUAAAAACAGAAAUAGGGAAGGAACGAGGUAGAGAAACAGCAUAGAAGUGAUGUUUGUCAGCAAACAAACCUGUAGCAGCCUCCUUACGGGCAAUAUUUGCUCUCAUAAGAUCACUUGCCGCUUCAGCAGCCUCAAUACCAGCAGCACCAGUGCAAUAGCUAUUUCGUAUUGUCUGCUUGCAGCACUUAUAACCCCACUGGUGAUCCUUCCACCAUGAGCCCCACACAGUUGUGUGGUUGUUAAUGUAAAUAUCUUCUUCAUACUUGCUCCUGGGGAGUGCUGCUUCCUGUUGGAAACAUCAGAUAAAUAACAAUUAAAUGUAGUCUCAAGUAACCAUAAAGCAGAAACAUUAAGGUCAAAACUAAAAGUCAUGCUAAAACCCAAAACGUUAAAAGAUCAUGAAAAAUUCCCACUACCAAGGAUAUUGAAGAUUUAUAAGCAAAUUACAAUGGUACUCUAUACAGAUUUAGAAUACAAUUCUCACCUGGCCUUUAAUUAUUCUACCAGCACGAUCAUACUCAACUUGCAUUUCAGUUUGGCCUAGCAGAAGUGCUCUUGGAGGCUUGUUCUCAUCAGCAGCAUUACCAUACUUCUCAAUGAUUGUUUUCUUUGUUUGAUGCUUCAGCUCCUCACUCCGGAUAAGGAAGCUCUUAUGGACUAAUUCAGCUUGUGAUGGGGCUGCCUGCAUGUGAACAUCUUGCCCCUUUUCAAAUGCUUCCCAAGCAUGGAUGUUCAACUCCUUAAAUUCCAAAGCUUGCCCGCUAUUUCUAUAUUGGUUAUCAC
rnacentral:lncRNA from 1 species